AUGAUACUCCCUCGGUCCCAAAAUUUUUGUAUUAGCUUUGUCUAGAAAAGGAUGUAUCUAAAUACUAAAUUUGACUAGAUACAUUCAUAUCUAAACAAAUAUCAGACAAGAAUUUUGGGAUGGAGGGAGUACUUU
rfam:Hordeum vulgare subsp. vulgare, WGS project CAJW01000000 data, contig: morex_contig_918623